rnacentral:misc_RNA from 1 species
AACGCACCUUGCGCUCCUUGGUAUUCCGAGGAGCAUGCCUGUUUGAGUGUCAUUAAAUUCUCAACCUUCCAGCUUUUAUUAGCUUGGAUAGGCUUGGAUGUGGGGGUUGCGGGCUUCAUCAAUGAGGUUGGCUCUCCUUAAAAGCAUUAGCGGAACUUUUGUGGACCGUCUAUUGGUGUGAUAAUUAUCUACGCCGUGGAUGUGAAGCAACUUUAUAAAGUUCAGCUUCUAACUGUCCAUUAAUUUGGACAAUUUUGACAAUUUGGCCUCAAAUCAGGUAGGACUACCCGCUGAACUUAA